ACGCUAUCACUCCUACGGGAGGCAGCAGUGAGGAAUAUUGGUCAAUGGGCGCAAGCCUGAACCAGCCAUGCCGCGUGCAGGAUGACGGUCCUAUGGAUUGUAAACUGCUUUUGUACGGGAAGAAACACUCCUUCGUGAAGGAGCUUGACGGUACCGUAAGAAUAAGGAUCGGCUAACUCCGUGCCAGCAGCCGCGGUAAUACGGAGGAUCCAAGCGUUAUCCGGAAUCAUUGGGUUUAAAGGGUCCGUAGGCGGUUUUAUAAGUCAGUGGUGAAAUCCGGCAGCUCAACUGUCGAACUGCCAUUGAUACUGUAGAACUUGAAUUAUUGUGAAGUAACUAGAAUAUGUAGUGUAGCGGUGAAAUGCUUAGAGAUUACAUGGAAUACCAAUUGCGAAGGCAGGUUACUAACAAUAUAUUGACGCUGAUGGACGAAAGCGUGGGUAGCGAACAGGAUUAGAUACCCUGGUAGG
rnacentral:rRNA from 1 species